UUUUAUGGAGAGUUUGAUCCUGGCUCAGGAUGAACGCUGGCGGCGUGCCUAAUACAUGCAAGUCGAGCGAACGGACGAGAAGCUUGCUUCUCUGAUGUUAGCGGCGGACGGGUGAGUAACACGUGGAUAACCUACCUAUAAGACUGGGAUAACUUCGGGAAACCGGAGCUAAUACCGGAUAAUAUUUUGAACCGCAUGGUUCAAAAGUGAAAGACGGUCUUGCUGUCACUUAUAGAUGGAUCCGCGCUGCAUUAGCUAGUUGGUAAGGUAACGGCUUACCAA
rnacentral:rRNA from 1 species